UACAGAGGGGGCGAGCGUUGUUCGGAAUUACUGGGCGUAAAGGGCGCGUAGGCGGCCUUCUAAGUCGAACGUGAAAUCCCCCGGGCGUCAACCCGGGAACUGCGUCCGAUACUGGGAGGCUUGAAUCCGGGAGAGGGAUGUGGAAUUCCAGGUGUAGCGGUGAAAUGCGUAGAUAUCUGGAGGAACACCGGUGGCGAAGGCGGCGAUCCUGGGACCGGUAUUGACGCUGAGGCGCGAAAGCCAGGGGAGCAAACGGG
rnacentral:rRNA from 1 species